UUGUAUGAGGACACAGCAAUAAGGUGGCCAUCUGGAACCCAGAAAGGAAGCUCCUACCAGAAACUGACUCUCCUGGACCUUGACGUGGGACUUCGAGCCUCCAGAACUGAGGAUGACACCAAAGCACGUGGUCACCUGCUGAGACGUGGAUACAUCCCAUUCGCACUAAGCACCUACAGCUGUGCUUUGGCGAAGACUAUACAUUGAAGACCUCGGGGAAGUUUCCCGAUGUCCUCGGUGAGGCAAAGCUGAGAACACUGAUGUCAGAGCUGGUGACUUCUGCAGUUAACACAGACUAGAGCUGGAACUCAUUGUCAGCCCCUGAUUCCAUGCAACCUCUUUCACUUCUUAUACCACUAUUCC
rnacentral:lncRNA from 1 species